AAAACAGUAAUUUACUAGAAUAUUUGAUUUGCACUCAAAAAGAGCAAAUAGCCUGUUUUA
rnacentral:tRNA from 1 species